UCUUCCUUUCUAUCUCUUCCUCUCACAUUCUCUCUUUCCCUCCUCCUCAAUUUUCCUAUAAAGCUUCGAACUUUAAGCUCUCCUCCUCAUGGGUUCUCCUUGUUUCUCUCCCUAUAUUGGUUUAAAGCAUAUGGGCAUCUCCAUCUCCCCGAAAUCUUCGAACCCAGAGAAGAAGAGAAGAUGUAGUAAGGGUUUGGUGAUUCGUGCGUCUUUGUUUGGCGUUGGAGCACAUGAGGCUUACAGGUCAUGAGAGGAAGGAGAACAGUGAAGAUAUCAAUCUACGACAUUGUUGUCGGAGAUGUUAUACCUCUUAGAAUAGGUGACCGGCAUGACGGGUGAAAGCAAGAUUGUGAGUUCAUCAUGAUUCUGCUUGUUCAAUUAUGUGCGGUUAAACGGUCUUGCAACCUUCAUCGGUAUAGUGGGGCUCACGGUGGCUCUUGUUGUACUGGUAGCUCUUCUUGUGAAGUUAGGAGGCUUUCAGCUUGUGAAACCAUGGGUUCAGCAACAACAAUUUGCAGUGAUAAAACUGGAACUUUAACUUUGAAUCGGGUCAGUAUCUAGUGAAACUCAUGACCAUACCCCUCUAAAAUGACAGAUGACUGUGGUUGAGACUUAUACUCGAAUGUUCUUGUGGUGUCUCUCUCUCUAUGUAUUUUGUAUUGCCACGAGAAGAUGAACAUGUCUAUGAGGUUCAUCGUUCUGAUCACCAUGUCACCAGGUUCGUUCCCUCCCUUACAGCUCACUCUUAAAUGAACAUGUCUUGAUUCUGGUUGGUGUUAGAUAUAUGGUUAGUGUUAGUGUUAAAUGUGGUUAGUGAACAUCGUUCUGAACAUCGUAGUGAAGCUUGUAAUCUUGUGUAUUCAUGUGUCACGGGAGCUUGUAGUCUUGUAAUCUUCUCUAUAUUAAGUUUUGGUAAAACCAAACAAUUUGAUCGCAAAUUUUCUUGUUC